rnacentral:rRNA from 1 species
AGGGAAGAGCCCAGCACCGAAGCCUGUGGCCAUUUGGUCACUAGGCAAUGUGGUGUUUAGGUCAUCUCGCAGUGGUGCUGCCCCACCCUAAGUCCAACACUGAGUACGGUUGUUUGGAAAUGGCCCAGGGAGGGUGAAAGGCCCGUGGGGGUGGGGAUCACAGUGCUGCUAUGAGUAGACCUUGGAGUCGGGUUGUUUGUGAAUGCAGCCCAAAGUGGGUGGUAAACUCCAUCCAAGGCUAAAUACUGGCACGAGUCCGAUAGCAAACAAGUACCGUGAGGGAAAGUUGAAAAGUACUUUGAAGAGAGAGUAAACAGUACGUGAAACCGUUCAGAGGUAAACGGGUGGAGUUGAACUGCAAGCUCUGAGGAUUCAGCUGGUGAGCGUGGUUUAAGGCAUGGUUAUAACGGUCGUCCGUGCGGGUUCGCUUAACUGCGGGUCUCUGCCCUCGGGUGGGGAUGCUGGGGUACUUGUCAAGUACUACGCGCUCGUGAUGGUUCACCGGGCCGGCUUGCCAGUGCACUUUCUCGGAGUAGUCACCACGACCGGCGCUGCCGCUAGGCUGCUGGUGUUAAACCUGUCGUGUAUAGUCAUUGUGGCUUUAUGCGGUGGGGACGGCAGGUGACUCGUUGGCUUCGCCAUCGAGUGUUAUCAGCUGACAUCAGUGGUACUGUGCGGUGUGUCGGAGACGGCGGCUUGUGGUGUGUACGUGUGUGCCUGUUCGCUGACAGUGUCGGGUCUGGGUUGUCAUGUGCUUGUAAAAGCAGGCCUGAUGAUGGCUCGGUGUUGUUCGGUGGGCGGUGGCAUGCGGGAAACCUGUAACGAGGGCCAAUAGUCUGUGGUGUAGUGGUAAACCUUCCACCCGACCCGUUGAAACACGGACCAAGGAGAGUAACAUGUGCGCGAGUCAAUGGGCGUUACGAAACCCAAAGGCGUAGUGAAGGUGAAUGUUCGGCUUGUCCGGACUGAGG